rnacentral:misc_RNA from 1 species
AAUUUCGGGUUUGUUAUCUUUUUUUAUAACAUACGAGGAACAAAAGUUUCACUUUCGUUAUAAAAUACAAUGAUUUAAAAAAAAGUUAAUGAUAAGUAAUGUAAAUUUACAUAUAUAAUUAAACAGUCAUUUGAAAUAUCAAAGAGGUCGAAAUAAAUUGAAAAUCUAACUACCUAGAUGCUUCGAAAUAUUUCAAAAGAAGGUUUUAAAAGAAUGAACGAGUCUUCACAUGUAUCAGAAUUAGGAGAGUUUAACUAUAAUAAAAAGUUACCUGAAGAACCGAACAGUCUACAAGUACGCUCGAGAUCUCCAGAAAGUAUAAAUUCAAGCUAUGCUGAUCUAUUUGAAACAAGUGGUGUUGAAAUUAAUGACUACCUUGGUUCAUCUUCUCAAGAUAUAGUGGUGAACCAUGUAACUUAUAAUUUAAACAAGUGUAAAGAAAAAGUUGUGAUACCGUAUUAUAGACUGCUUUGUUUUAUUGGUUGGAGGCCAUUUGGUAAACAGUUUCAUCAGCCAAAUUAUUGUGUUAGUCUAUUGAAUAUUAUUUAUACAAUAAUGAUCUUUGCUAUACUUUUAUUUUGGUAUUUUAUUCAACUUUAUAAUUGCGUGGGCCAUUUGGUUCUUAUACAGCCAGCUUUUCCAAUUUUAAAGCCAAAUGCUACAACAAUUAAUUGGACAAAUACAGUUCCAAGCAAUAACUUUCAUUUGGAUUUAAGUUCAUGUCGCCAUGCAUUAAGCACAUAUAUUAUUCCAGAUAUUCUGCAUUUUUUGGCUUUUGUUAUUGGUUUUUACUACUUUCGAGUGAAAGAGCAUGAGGCACUUUAUGCCCUUAUGGAAAAGGUAUACUUACAGAGCACCUGUCCAAUCAAAAUGACCACCAGUUUGAGAAUUUUUUUGGCAUCUGGUCUACUCUGGUUUCUUUUUUCUCUUGGAAUAAUGGCUUUUUCCUUUCAAGCAUUUAAGAAUGACAUUUUUAUCUUAAAAAAUUGGAAAUCAUAUGCGGUGAUGGUUCUGAUAUUUCUUUCUAAUGCUUUGGCAAAUUGUGUUGCCUUGGCGGUAGUGUUAAGUUAUUGUGGUCAAUGCAAACUUCUUGUUUAUUAUUUGGAUGGUGUUAUGGAACGAUUGGAAGCAAAAUCUACUGAACUAAAAAUAGCAAUGAAGGAUGUUCUUGCUAUUAAAUCUCACUUCAAUCAGCUAAAUGGACUCUUUUCUUUCAGUACAUCAUGCAUUGUAUUUAAUAUGAUCAUAUUAGUGUUGAUAACAUCAGUACUACUCAUAGAUUAUCAACCACUGCAACCAAUAGAACAUUUGAUAUAUAGAAUUUGCUUUGGAAUACAGUGGACAGUUAUUCUUUUGUUUGUUCUUGUACAGUUGCACCAGCUCUUACUUUUAAUGCUACUGGUUACAACUGUUGGCAGCAUCAUUGACUUCACGUUCUGAAAAAUUAAAAGAAAAAGCUUUAACAAUUCGUGUAUUUGGAUAUCAAUCAAAUACAGAAGCUGAAAUCGAUUCAUUUCUUAACUUUUUAAAUAUGACUAGACUUGAGGCAGAAAUAUUUGCCAUACCUGUUAAGUCUCGAUAUUUGUGGGGUAUAUUGAUAAUUAUGAUUCAGUCAUUGAUCAUCGUUCUUCAGACUGGUCCUUUAUUUAAU